rnacentral:rRNA from 1 species
CCGACGGUGAGGGGCGAAAGCUGGGGGCACGAACCGGAUUAGAUACCCGGGUAGUCCCAGCCGUAAACGAUGCUCGCUAGGUGUCUGGGAUGGUGCGACCGUUUCAGGUGCCGCAGGGAAGCCGUGAAGCGAGCCACCUGGGAAGUACGGCCGCAGGGCUGAAACUUAAAGGAAUUGGCGGGGGAGCACUACAACGGGUGGAGCCUGCGGUUUAAUUGGACUCAACGCCGGAAAACUCACCUGGGGC